rnacentral:tRNA from 7 species
GGGGGGAUGGUCUAACUUGGUCAUGACUCGAGGUUUGGGACCUCGUAAUUCGGGUUCAAAUCCCGAUCCCCUCA